rnacentral:rRNA from 1 species
AUGCUACUUGGGCUAGUGAUGCUUCAGAUUGCCGGUCCCUUUUUACUUGUGUUUUUCUUGGAGUUUCUCUCAUUUCCUGGAAGACAAAGAAACAUACUAGAGCCUGUUCGAGUUCAGAGGCUGAGUUGUGGUACUCUCUCGCCGUCUCUUAUGACUUGGCUACGGUGGUUGCUUGAGGAUUUUGGUGUUUCUAUCACCACACCUCCUCCUCUCUUGUUUGACAGUACAUGUGCUAUCAGUAUUGUGUGCGACCCUGUGAAGCAUGAGCUCACCAAGCAUAUUGGUGUUGAUGCUUCCUUUGUGUGCAUGAUCAGGUGA